UACGUAGGGUGCGAGCGUUAAUCGGAAUUACUGGGCGUAAAGUGUGCGCAGGCGGCCGAGCAAGUCGAGUGUGAAAGCCCCGGGCUUAACCUGGGAACUGCGCUCGAAACUACUUGGCUGGAGUGUGGCAGAGGGAGGUGGAAUUCCACGUGUAGCGGUGAAAUGCGUAGAGAUGUGGAGGAACACCGAUGGCGAAGGCGGGUCUCUGGGCCGAUACUGACGCUGAGGAGCGAAAGCGUGGGGAGCGAACAGG
rnacentral:rRNA from 1 species